AGAGUUUGAUCAUGGCUCAGAGUGAACGCUGGUGGCAUGCUUAACACAUGCAAGUCGCACGGGCAGCAAUGUCAGUGGCGGACGGGUGAGUAACGCGUAGGGAAGUGUCCAGAGGUGGGGGACAACCCCGGGAAACUGGGGCUAAUACCGCAUAUGGCCUGAGGGCCAAAGCAGUGAUGCGCCUUUGGAGUUACCUGCGUCCGAUUAGCUAGUUGGUGGGGUAAAGGCCUACCAAGGCGACGAUCGGUAGCUGGUCUGAGAGGACGACCAGCCACACUGGGACUGAGACACGGCCCAGACUCCUACGGGAGGCAGCAGUGGGGAAUAUUGGACAAUGGGCGCAAGCCUGAUCCAGCAAUGCCGCGUGGGUGAAGAAGGUCUUCGGAUCGUAAAGCCCUUUCGGCGGGGACGAUGAUGACGGUACCCGCAGAAGAAGCCCCGGCUAACUUCGUGCCAGCAGCCGCGGUAAUACGAAGGGGGCUAGCGUUACUCGGAAUUACUGGGCGUAAAGGGCGCGUAGGCGGCGUUCCAAGUUAGGCGUGAAAGUCCUGGGCUCAACC
rnacentral:rRNA from 1 species